GACUGCUAGAGUCUGAUGCCAAAAAUUGAUCUCAGUAUCCAAUCAUCAAAUCCAGAGCUCUGGUUAGAACUGUCCCAAUGCUAAUAAAAUCAUCACCGUCUGUCCUCAAUUCAACAUGUGGUGCCAGUUUGCCGACACAUAUGCCUCUUGGUCUUCGAACUGAAUUGAGAUAUGUUCCAACAUGAAAAUGAAGGGGCUGGUAGGAAAAAUGGAAAUGUGGGUCAUACAGAGUCAUGUAUGUUAGCAAAGAACACGUCUCUGUUAUCCCUGCAGAUUGAGGGAAAAAAAGGGAAGAAGAAAAAAUAGUAUAAUCAGCAGAGUAGUUCAAGGCACAUUGCUAGCAGGGACUACUCUAAUUAGCAUUUAAGUAGCGACUCUAACUGCAUAUAAGCGUAGAAGAUACACACCAUAGGCCAAGAGAAUAUUCUUAGCUCUUGGGAAGAAGUAGCCAGCUUCUUUUUCACGUAGUCUUUUCCUUUCCACGGUCCUUUCUCCCCGAGGACACUUGGAAUUAAACAAAAGUACCACUAGAAGAGCACAAUUUUGAACGUAGACCAUGUAGGUGGCCGAUGCUUUCUACACAUGAUCUUCAGUAUUCAAAUUGCUUGUUAAAGAUCUUCUUUGUAGAUAACCUUAGAAAGUAUAUUCGAUCAGCAAACUUUGCUGGAACUUGGAAAGUUGGAAAAGAUGUACAUCAUUCUCACUGUAACCACAUAUACCCAAAGAAAUCUGCUGAGUAGCGGAGUGCAAGACAACCUUUGAAACUAGAAACCAAUAUCACAUAAGUAAUCAUCAAAUUUGAGAACCCUUCAGAAAUUGCCAAGAAAGAUGGACAAAGAAGCUUUUUCUAGGAAGUCUUGUUCAGAAGUAAGGUCAGUAAAGUAUCUUAGGUGUCUACCAAAGAAAGAGUAUCUUAGGUAACAGGCAAUCAAGCCAAAAGAAAGUAGUAUAUAUUUACAAAUCUGGUGCGGUUUGCUUUUUGACAAAAUUGAUAUGAUUGAAACUUUUUUAAUGGGUAAUCGAACCAAAAAAAGAGCCAUCUGGUAUCAGUUUUUAUGAUUGAGACUUCAGAGUAGAUAAUAAAACUACAAAAAGCCAGUUCUAUAUCUCCAUGGGUGUAUGGGUGUGCUUGCACCUUCAUCCAUCUCUAAAUAGGAUCGAUCACUUCACUGAAGAGUAAAAAACCAAUCUUUCCCAAAAAAUUACCCCUUGAAGACCGCAAAAAUACUUGUUAUUGGCAAUAAGAGGAAGUAAAGACUACACUGGGGAUGAAGCAUACUAUAACAGGACCAUCACAAGCCCAGGAGGUAGUCAGUAGUUGAAAAGGAACUCAGAGGAGUUAUUGGAUGCAUAUCUAGCAUGCCAUAGUUGAUAUUAGCACGUGAAAAAGAAAAGCUGGAUCAAUGAUUUUUAAGAAUAUCAUGCUUUUGUACAUUGCGUGAUGAGUAACAUAAAUUUUUUUCAUCCUUCAACAACUUAAGACUUCAAGAAAGUGACAUAACAUUCACAUUUCUUGAAUAUGGCGAAGGGAGAGAGCCCAAGGGAACGUACCAUUAUAGAGAAGGUAUACCAUCCUUGUGGAUCUCAGUACAUCAGCUAAUAAAACUCCCAUCUGUCACCAAAAUCGCUGGGGCUAACAUCACCGAUGUAGCUUCCUUUGCACUCUACAGUCAAGAUUUUAGAAUGAAUUAACACCAUUGAAUAGAUGUACACAUCAUAAAACAACCACCAUCAUCAUGACGUUUAGCUGCUUGCCCCUACUUUCUCAAUUUCUGGCAAACAAAAGAGACGACUAAGGCACUGAGAUCUGCGAAUUUCAGCAACUAAGGUACUGAGAUUGGAUAAUUUGUCCUCCGACCUAAUAUGAUAAAAAAGACCUCAUCAUCCUUUCUGUUCUUCCACUUCCACGAAGUCAUCACCCACGGUUACACUUCCCAUGCACUAAUUGCAACAACUUUAGUAUGCCUCGCUCUUAGGUUCCAUUACACAGCAUUCCAUUCAUGCAGGGGUCUAAUUAAGAUUUCACUGGAGCAUCAAAAGGUAAAGAUUAUAAAAUAUUUAGUUAUUCAUCAUACUAAAAUUGUCGAGAAGUCGGCUCUGCAUGGACUGAUGUCUUGCCACUCUUAUGUACCUAAAAUUUGACAAGUCAUUUUUCAAUAUCGAACAGGAAUUCUUGUUCUAUCCAAUUUAUGCAUUCACAGAUGCAUAAUUGCCAAUACAGAGGACUUAACCCCCUUCACUGAUUAGUUCUGCAGAACUCGACUCACCCAUCUGUAGUUUAGAGGAAGAAAAAAGGAGAGAAGGAAUCAUAGCUCACGCUAGUAAGAAAAGAAAUGGAUGAUCGAUUCAUCAAGGCAAGAAGUGAAGCUGAUGAUCGACACUGCAACAUCGAUUCUAGUCACCUCAAAAAUCAUUCACCGGCUUUCUGUCCCAUUCCAAGUUUUGCCCAACUACAUCGAUCCAUCGAAGACUAGAGUUUGUCAUGACAGGACAGAGACGUUCUUUGGCAGCAAGAUUCUGUCAAAACCCACAACUCACAGGACAAGAUAAUCUGCCGAACUAUUUGCACCUCCUACGGAUGAAUGAUGGGACAAAUGGAAAAUUUGGACCUGUUAUACGCGGAGACUUCGAAGCAGAUCACGAGCAAGCCCAGAAACGGCUUCCACGAACUGGGUUUCGGCCAUUCGGCGGCCGCCGGCGACGGCGACCGGGGAAUUCCGCCUCGCGGUGGCGAUGCGAGACGACCGCUCGGAGUCGGAAGGCAAAUUGGGGGAGGCGGGUCUUGCGUCAGUGUUGAAGAAAAGCGUGGGAGACGUGUCAUGCGUGGAUUGGCC
rnacentral:lncRNA from 1 species